rnacentral:rRNA from 1 species
AAUGAACGUUGGCGGCGUGGAUUAGGCAUGCAAGUCGUGCGAGAACCGUAGCAAUACGGGGAAAGCGGCGAAAGGGAGAGUAACACGUGGGUACCUACCCCUGGGACUGGGAUAGCCGCGGGAAACUGCGGGUAAUACCGGAUAACGUCCCCGGACCAAAGGUGUGAUUCCGCCUGGGGAGGGGCCCGCGUCCUAUUAGCUUGUUGGUGAGGUAACGGCUCACCAAGGCGAAGAUGGGUACGGGGUGUGAGAGCAUGCCCCCGCUCACUGGGACUGAGACACUGCCCAGACACCUACGGGAGGCUG